GACGAACGCUGGCGGCGUGCUUAACACAUGCAAGUCGAACGAUGAAGCGGUGCUUGCACCGUGGAUUAGUGGCGAACGGGUGAGUAAUACGUGAGUGACCUACCUUUGACUCUGGGAUAAGCCUGGGAAACUGGGUCUAAUACCGGAUACGACCAAUCUCUGCAUGGGGUGUUGGUGGAAAGCGUUAUGGAGUGGUUUUAGAUGGGCUCACGGCCCAUCAGCUUGUUGGUGAGGUAAUGGCUUACCAAGGCGACGACGGGUAGCCGGCCUGAGAGGGUGACCGGCCACACUGGGACUGAGACACGGCCCAGACUCCUACGGGAGGCAGCAGUGGGGAAUAUUGCACAAUGGGCGCAAGCCUGAUGCAGCGACGCCGCGUGAGGGAUGACGGCCUUCGGGUUGUAAACCUCUGUUAGCAUCGAAGAAGCGAAAGUGACGGUAGGUGCAGAGAAAGCGCCGGCUAACUACGUG
rnacentral:rRNA from 1 species